rnacentral:rRNA from 1 species
GAUGAACGCUGGCGGCGUGCCUAAUACACGCAAGUCGAGCGAACAGACGAGGAGCUUGCUCCUCUGACGUUAGCGGCGGACGGGUGAGUAACACGUGGAUAACCUACCUAUAAGACUGGGAUAACUUCGGGAAACCGGAGCUAAUACCGGAUAACAUGUUGAACCGCAUGGUUUAACAGUGAAAGACGGUCUUGCUGUCACUUAUAGAUGGAUCCGCGCCGCAUUAGCUAGUUGGUAAGGUAACGGCUUACCAAGGCAACGAUGCGUAGCCGACCUGAGAGGGUGAUCGGCCACACUGGAACUGAGACACGGUCCAGACUCCUACGGGAGGCAGCAGUAGGGAAUCUUCCGCAAUGGGCGAAAGCCUGACGGAGCAACGCCGCGUGAGUGAAGAAGGUCUUCGGAUCGUAAAACUCUGUUAUUAGGGAAGAACAAAUGUGUAAGUAACUAUGCACGUCUUGACGGUACCUAAUCAGAAAGCCACGGCUAACUACGUG